CUCGUCGUAGCUCAACUGAUAGAGCGUGCGCGUACUAAGUGUAGGCGGCGUCCAUGCGUGGGUUCGAAUCCCACCGAGGAGC
rfam:Echinostoma caproni strain Egypt genome assembly, scaffold: ECPE_scaffold0017858